rnacentral:rRNA from 1 species
GGACAACCUUCCGAAAGGGAGGCUAAUCCCGCGUAUAUCGGUUUCGGGCAUCCGAGAUCGAGGAAAGAUUCAUCGGAAGAGGAUGGGCAUGCGGCGCAUUAGCUAGACGGCGGGGUAACGGCCCACCGUGGCGACGAUGCGUAGGGGUUCUGAGAGGAAGGUCCCCCACACUGGUACUGAGACACGGACCAGACUCCUACGGGAGGCAGCAGUGAGGAAUAUUGGUCAAUGGGAGAGAUCCUGAACCAGCCAAGCCGCGUGAGGGAAGACGGCCCUAUGGGUUGUAAACCUCUUUUGUCGGAGAACAAAACCCGGGACGAGUCCCGGACUGCGUGUAUCCGAAGAAAAAGCAUCGGCUAACUCCGUGCCAGCAGCCGCGGUAAUACGGAGGAUGCGAGCGUUAUCCGGAUUUAUUGGGUCUAAAGGGUGCGUAGGCGGUCCGUUAAGUCAGCGGUAAAAUUGCGGGGCUCAACCCCGUCGAGCCAUUGAAACUGGCAGACUUGAGUUGGCGAGAAGUACGCGGAAUGCGCGGUGUAGCGGUGAAAUGCAUAGAUAUCGCGCAGAACUCCGAUUGCGAAGGCAGCGUACCGGCGCCAGACUGACGCUGAGGCACGAAAGCGUGGGGAUCGAACAGGAUUAGAUACCCUGGUAGUCCACGCAGUAAACGAUGAAUGCUGGUUGUCCGGGUCGAAUGAGAUCUGGGC